AAGAAAGAGAGAAGGGGGGGGUGUAGUCAGAGCCCGGAACACAGCCGAUACGAUAAUGAUUUUCUCCUCCGCGCAGAGCCACAGAAUAGCGCGUGUAACAUGACACCAAUCCCACCCCCUGCUCUUUUGAAGUGCCAUGGGAUUUUUAAUGACCACAUCAAGUCAGGACCUCAGGAAGAUGAUUCUUCCGUGAUGUAGCACCAAAGUCGCCGUGCGGUACUCAGGGGGCGUACAUGGCGGUUGGAAGCACGAGCUUCGCCAUGCGAAAAACGAUUGCGACUCGUGAAACGUGGAGGUAGAUGUUUUUCUCCUGGUCCCCAUGGGUUUAAAGCUGGGUUAUGUACUCUGCUUACCAGGGCCUUGUUAGUAGGAAUGUGCAAUUUUGCAAGUGACAAGAGUAGAGAGGAAUUGCUGAUCUGGCAGUAUAGUUCAAUGGUUAGGGAACUUGGUUGCUAAUACAAAGGUCGCAGGUAAGAUUUCCAGGUACGGAACUGAUCUUGUACCCUUGUGCAAGGUACUUAACGUGAUUUGUGUCUGUAUAUAUCGAGCUGUAUAAUUGGAUAAUACAAUAUGCAAAACCUAAAUGCCUGUAUUGUAAUGUAAAUGACCCAGGAUCCGUGAGCUCAUUUUGUCUUUGGGAAACAUUCUGGUACACAGAAAAAACCGGUGCCGAACAGAAAAGUGGAAUGGCAGCCAUUUUAUACCAAAAUGUUUAAAUAGAAAGGAUGAGUCCACAUACUGUGUAUGCUCCUGGGUACCAUAAAUUAAUUAAUAAAUUUAUGGCACCCGGGAGCAUACACAGUAUGUGGACUCAUCUUUUUUAUAUAACAUUUUGGUACAAAAUGGCUGCCAUAA